AACGAACGCUGGCGGCAUGCCUAACACAUGCAAGUCGAACGAGACCUUCGGGUCUAUUGGCGCACGGGUUCGUAACGCGUGGGAACCUGCCCUUAUGUUCGGAAUAACUCCCCGAAAGGGGUGCUAAUACCGGAUAAUGUCUUCGGACCAAAGAUUUAUUGCCUUUGGAUGGGCCCGCGUUGGAUUAGCUAGUUGGUAGGGUAAAAGCCUACCAAGGCGACGAUCCAUAGCUGGUCUGAGAGGAUGAUCAGCCACACUGGGACUGGGACACGGCCCAGACUCCUACGGGAGGCAGCAGUGGGGAAUAUUGGACAAUGGGGGAAAGCCUGAUCCAGCAAUGCCGGGUGAGUGAUGAAGGCCUUAGGGUUGUAAAGCGCUUUUACCCGGGAUGAUAAUGACGGUACCGGGAGAAUAAGCUCCGGCUAACUCCGUG
rnacentral:rRNA from 1 species